rnacentral:lncRNA from 1 species
CACAAGUUUAGGGAGUCGGAGCCAGUUUCAGAGUGUCCCUUCCAGGCGCUUUGCAGCCACAGCUUGCUCAGUACUCUAAGAAGAGGGCUGCGGGAUGAUAGGAGACCCAAAUCCAGGCCUCAAUUCUGCCUUUAUCCCCAGUAGAUGUGUCUUUGUAAAAGCCAGUAACAUUUCAGUGUCUGUAGAACAGCAAUUGCAAACAGGAGGCCAAGGAAGGAGUCCUGGCCUUGGAGCGGGCUGAAGUUACAUCCGAAUCUGAACUCUGCUGCCCCUGGCUUGCAACCUGGCCCUCGAGGAGGAGAAAGGUGAGGAGAAUUGAAAGAAGUUAUUUGGCAACUGACUCAUGAGGGGUGUGUAACACCAUCAUCUACCCCUCUUCCUUAAAGAACUCCAACCCCCUGGGAUGCCUGUCUCCACUUACUGAUUAACAACUGGAGUAUGGGACCUGCUAGAGCUAGUGAAGGGACUGAUCCUGUGGAACAAUACCCACAAGGUCUCCAAGACUCGUGGCAGCCCCAGGAUAUCCCAGAGGAGUUCUGGUGAGGAUCCAGUGAGGAUGGUGUGUGUACCAGAAACCAGAAGUCUUGAACCAGAUCAGUGACUCAUUGCAAUGAACAUUUGCCAGUAAAACUGAUGGGACAAAGAAGUAUACUAUAUGGCACACUGAAGUCUCCACUGCCACCAGGAUGAAUGAAGAGGUGUUGAAGAAGCAGGAAAGAAGGAGAAGCAAAGAGAUUUUUCUGUUGUGAUUUUUG